rnacentral:rRNA from 1 species
GAUGAACGCUGGCGGCGUGCCUAAUACAUGCAAGUCGAGCGAACAGACGAGGAGCUUGCUCCUUCGACGUUAGCGGCGGACGGGUGAGUAACACGUAGUUAACCUACCUAUAAGACUGGGAUAACUUCGGGAAACCGGAGCUACUACCGGAUAAUAUUUCGAACCGCAUGGUUCGCUAGUGAAAGAUGGCUUUUCUUUCACUUAUAGAUUGACCUGCCCCGUAUUAGCUAGUUGGUAAGGUAACGGCUUACCAAGGCAACGAUACGUAGCCGACCUGAGAGGGAGGAUGGCCACACUGGAAGUGAGACAGAGUACAGACUCCGACGGGAGGAAACAGUAGAGAAUCUUACGCGAGGGGCGAAAGGCGGACGGAGGAAAGCGGCGUGAGGGAUGAAGGUGUAAGGAUCGUAAAGCUAUGUUAUUAGGGGAGAACAAACGUGUAAGUAACUGUGCAGGUCUUGACGGUACCUAAUCAGAAAGCCACGGCUAACUACGUG